GUCUAAUACCGGAUAGGAGCGUCCACCGCAUGGUGGGUGUUGGAAAGAUUUAUCGGUUUUGGAUGGACUCGCGGCCUAUCAGCUUGUUGGUGAGGUAAUGGCUCACCAAGGCGACGACGGGUAGCCGGCCUGAGAGGGUGACCGGCCACACUGGGACUGAGACACGGCCCAGACUCCUACGGGAGGCAGCAGUGGGGAAUAUUGCACAAUGGGCGCAAGCCUGAUGCAGCGACGCCGCGUGAGGGAUGACGGCCUUCGGGUUGUAAACCUCUUUCAGUAGGGAAGAAGCGAAAGUGACGGUACCUGCAGAAGAAGCACCGGCUAACUACGUGCCAGCAGCCGCGGGUAAUACGUAGGGUGCGAGCGUUAUCCGGAAUUAUUGGGCGUAAAGAGCUCGUAGGCGGUUUGUCGCGUCUGUCGUGAAAGUCCGGGGCUUAACCCCGGAAUCUUGCGGUGGGUACGGGCAGACUAGAGUGCAGUAGGGGAGACUGGAAAUUCCUGGUGUAGCGGGUGGAAUGCGCAGAUAUCAGGAAGGAAACACCGAUGGGCGAAGGCAGGUCUCUGGGGCUGUAACUGAACGCUAGAAGGAGCGAAAGCAUGGGGAGCGAAACAGGAUUUA
rnacentral:rRNA from 1 species